rnacentral:pre_miRNA from 1 species
CGAGCUCGCCGGAUCUGGCGAUAGAGCUCGAGCUUGCCUGGAUCGGGAGCUCGAGCUCUGCCGCUAGAUCCGGCGAGUCGC